rnacentral:rRNA from 1 species
GACGAACGCUGGCGGCGUGCUUAACACAUGCCAGUCGAACGGAAAGGCCCUGCUUUUGUGGGGUGCUCGAGUGGCGAACGGGUGAGUAACACGUGAGUAACCUGCCCUUGACUUUGGGAUAACUUCAGGAAACUGGGGCUAAUACCGGAUAGGAGCUCCUGCUGCAUGGUGGGGGUUGGAAAGUUUCGGCGGUUGGGGAUGGACUCGCGGCUUAUCAGCUUGUUGGUGGGGUAGUGGCUUACCAAGGCUUUGACGGGUAGCCGGCCUGAGAGGGUGACCGGCCACACUGGGACUGGGGUACGCCCCAGACUCGUACGGAACGCAGCGGUCGGGAGUAUUGCACACUGGGCGGAAGCCUGAUGCAGCCACGCCGCGUGCGGGAUGCCGGCCUUCGGGUUGUAAACCGCUUUCGCCUGUGACGGGGCGUGAGUGACGGUAAUGGGUAAAGAAGCACCGGCUAACUACGUG